rnacentral:rRNA from 1 species
UGGGGAAUCUUCCGCAAUGGGCGCAAGCCUGACGGAGCAACGCCGCGUGAGUGAAGAAGGUCUUCGGAUCGUAAAGCUCUGUUGAUGGGGACGAACGUGCCUAAUGCGAAUAGUAUUAGGUAAUGACGGUACCCAUCGAGGAAGCCACGGCUAACUACGUGCCAGCAGCCGCGGUAAUACGUAGGUGGCGAGCGUUGUCCGGAAUCAUUGGGCGUAAAGGGAGCGCAGGCGGGCAUGUAAGUCUUUCUUAAAAGUGCGGGGCUCAACCCCGUGAUGGGAAAGAAACUAUGUGUCUUGAGUACAGGAGAGGAAAGCGGAAUUCCCAGUGUAGCGGUGAAAUGCGUAGAUAUUGGGAGGAACAACAGCGGCGAAGGCGGGUUUCUGGACUGCAACUGACGCUGAGGCUCGAAAGCCAGGGGAGCGAACGGG